CCCAACUAUCCCUAUUAAUCAUUACGGUGAUCCUAGAAACCAACAAAAUAGAAUCAAACGUCCUAUUUCAUUAUUCCAUGCUAAUGUAUUCAAGCGUGCGCUUGCUUUAAACACUCUAAUUUUUUCAAAGUAACAGUCCUGAUUUCCCACGACACCAAAUUAAUGACAUCGCGGUUCUUCAGAAGGGAGGAACCAAUAAUACCAGUGCGUACCGAGGCACGACCGACAAUUUGAUCCCGAAAUUCAACUACGAGCUUUUUAACUGCAACAACUUUAAUAUACGCUAUUGGAGCUGGAAUUACCGCGGCUGCUGGCACCAGACUUGCCCUCCAA
rnacentral:misc_RNA from 1 species